UUUGACCUCGGAUCAGGUAGUGAUACCCGCUGAACUUAAGCAUAUCAAUAAGCGGAGGA
rnacentral:rRNA from 1 species